AAAGAGAGAGAAAGGAAAGGUUCGGCCUAAAAGAGAGAAAGUGAAUGGAAUAGAUGCAGAAAAAGAAUGACCCGAAUGGUCAGUUUUAGUUUCGGCACCUAGAGAAAAAAAAGGAAAAUGCAAAACCCCCAAAUGCUAGAGAAAAAAUUCGACUCCUAUAUACUCACUAAUUACCGAAAUGUAUACUUCAAAGUCCCCCUUAGCAGAUUCGACAACAACCUUCUACAACUCGCACUCCCCUUUUUCCUCCUAAAAUCACUCCUCCAAUCCUCUCCUUGAAAUCCUCCAUGAUCCACUCCUUAAAUCACUCAUUUGACCCAUUCAAACUCUCCAAAAUAGAGUUCAAAUCCAAC
rnacentral:lncRNA from 1 species